rnacentral:tRNA from 1 species
GCGGAAGUAGCUCAGUUGGUAGAGCGCCUCCUUGCCAAGGAGAAGGUCGCGGGUUCGAGUCCCGUCUUCCGCUCCA